rnacentral:rRNA from 1 species
AGUGAACGCUGGCGGUAGGCCUAACACAUGCAAGUCGAACGGCAGCACAGUAAGAGCUUGCUCUUACGGGUGGCGAGUGGCGGACGGGUGAGGAAUACAUCGGAAUCUACUUUUUCGUGGGGGAUCACGUAGGGAAACUUACGCUAAUACCGCAUACGACCUACGGGUGAAAGCAGGGGAUCUUCUGACCUUGCGCGGUUGAAUGAGCCGAUGUCGGAUUAGCUAGUUGGCGGGGUAAAGGCCCACCAAGGCGGCGAUCCGUAGCUGGUCUGAGAGGAUGGUCAGCGACACUGGAACUGAGACACGGUCCAGACUACUACGGGAGGCAGCAGUGGGGAAUAUUGGACAGUGGGCGCAAGCCUGAUCCAGCCAUACCGCGUGGGUGAAGAAGGCCUUCGGGUUGUAAAGCCCUUUUGUUGGGAAAGAAAAGCAGCAGGUUGAUACCCCGCUGUUCUGACGGUACCCAAAGAAUAAGCACCGGCUAACUUCGUG